rnacentral:rRNA from 1 species
UUGACCUCAAAUCAGGUAGGACUACCCGCUGAACUUAAGCAUAUCAAUAAGCGGAGGAAAAGAAACUAACAAGGAUUCCCCUAGUAACUGCGAGUGAAGCGGGAAAAGCUCAAAUUUAAAAUCUGGCAGCUUUUUUACAGUUGUCCGAGUUGUAAUCUAGAGAAGUGCUUUCCGCGCUGGACCGUGUACAAGUCUCUUGGAAUAGAGCAUCAUAGAGGGUGAGAAUCCCGUCUUUGACACGGACUACCAGUGCUUUAUGUGAUGCGCUCUCAAAGAGUCGA